rnacentral:misc_RNA from 1 species
GGCGUGGUCCUUCUGCGGGGCCCCUUGGCAGAAGAAGAACUUGUGUGGACACCUCGGCAGGCAGUUGUCCGCCAAGCUCACCACUGCGCUGCCCUCCUGGAUCUGCCUCAACUGCCUCGGCAGGGCUCCGCACAGAUAGUUGCCUUGCAGCAUCAGCCUGACGAACGGCACCCACUGUUCCGUGGAUUCCUCGGCCGCGGCACGGACGGCGUACCGUUCGGGAAUGCCGCCGGUGAACCGGUUCCUGUCGAGCGCGACCGCCGCGAGCCGCGGCAUUGCGCCAAGGCAGGCUGGCAGCCGCCCAGCGAGCCUGU